GACGUAGGGUGCAAGCGUUGUCCGGAUUUAUUGGGCGUAAAGAGCUCGUAGGCGGCUUGUUGCGUCGACUGUGAAAACCCGCGGCUUAACCGCGGGCUUGCAGUCGAUACGGGCAGGCUAGAGUUCGGUAGGGGAGACUGGAAUUCCUGGUGUAGCGGUGAAAUGCGCAGAUAUCAGGAAGAACACCCGUGGCUAAGGCGGCUCUCUAGUACGGUACUGACGCUGAGACGCGAAAGCGUGGGGAGCGAACAGG
rnacentral:rRNA from 1 species